rnacentral:lncRNA from 1 species
CUGCAUAUCACUAGCCCAGGGAAAGAUUCCAACUCAAAAUUCAACGGAUGGUUUCUGCUAAGUGUGCACUGUUUUCACACCAUCGUAAAGUAUAACUAAUCUCUAGGCCCAGCCAACAUAAUUCAGGACCAUCCUUUACCCAUUCCCAAUGGUGCCUGGGGAGGUAUGUGAGAAGAGUGUUAAGUGGUUUCACUCUGUGCUGCCACACAGAUGUUCAGUAAAUGUUUAUUGUGGAGUCUACUUUCAGAGCUUCUGUCAAGGGAAUCUGCAGCUCACACUUGUCAUUUCUAGCCACUUCACAGGAGAUGGUCAAAAAGCCAUUAACAGGGGUAAAAAGCCAAGGACCAUGGAAAUCUGAUAACGUUUUGUGGCGAUUGUCUUUCUCAAACAGACCAAAUAGUAAAUCCUGCUUAGGAUUUACAAAGGUAAAUAUUGACUGGCUACGAUGGUGGGUCCUUGUAACUGGUUCAUAGCCCUGUGAGUUCAGGGCCUCCAAGGCUAGGUUUCCUCUGUCCCCUCAUUUAAGGCCACCAGAGCCACCAACCCAAUUCUGUCAGCCCCUGCCCAACCAGCCCUGGUACCCCCACCUCUUGUGUUUUCUUGAUUAUGUUCCUCUGUGGUUUGAAUUCCAACAGGAAACAUGGAGAGGAGAAAGUAUGUGUCGCCCCAGUGUAUGUGACAGUCCUUCAAAACACUGGUUCAGUCAGUUGGGAUUACAGUCCCAUGGUCCCUUCUUCCAUAGUAUCUACUUGAGUUUCCUUGCCUUUCAAGGUCUGACUUCUGCAUCUGAGGAGAUAGUAGGAGUAUUGGGAGUGAGCGGAGCACAUGCCCCUACAUGGUCACUCCUAGGAAGGUGAGUACUUCCAGAAAUGACAAUUAGAUCCUCU